UGGGGAAUUUUGGACAAUGGGCGAAAGCCUGAUCCAGCAAUGCCGCGUGUGUGAAGAAGGCCUUCGGGUUGUAAAGCACUUUUGUCCGGAAAGAAAUCCUUGGCUCUAAUACAGUCGGGGGAUGACGGUACCGGAAGAAUAAGCACCGGCUAACUACGUGCCAGCAGCCGCGGUAAUACGUAGGGUGCAAGCGUUAAUCGGAAUUACUGGGCGUAAAGCGUGCGCAGGCGGUUUGCUAAGACCGAUGUGAAAUCCCCGGGCUCAACCUGGGAACUGCAUUGGUGACUGGCAGGCUAGAGUAUGGCAGAGGGGGGUAGAAUUCCACGUGUAGCAGUGAAAUGCGUAGAGAUGUGGAGGAAUACCGAUGGCGAAGGCAGCCCCCUGGGCCAAUACUGACGCUCAUGCACGAAAGCGUGGGGAGCAAACAGGAUUAGAUACCCUGGUAGUCCAGCGCCCUAAACGAUGUCAACUAGUUGUUGGGAUUCAUUUCCUUAGUAACGUAGCUAACGCGUGAAGUUGACCGCCUGGGGAGUACGGUCGCAAGAUUAAAACUUAAAUGAAUUGAC
rnacentral:rRNA from 1 species